GACAAAAUAAAUGUCAAUCAUCCUAUCAGAGAAUGUCACAACAAAUGUCAUAACAUAUAAAAUGUUAAAACAUAAUUGUUAGGAGAUUCAAACCAUCAUUAUACACAACUGUGGCAGCUGAGAUAAUGAGAAAUCCAUGGAACUCAUUAAGAGCCCAAAUAUUAGAUGAAGGCAUCAGUAAGGACUGCCACAAAUUUCACAUAUUAAAACUGAAAAAAAAACAAAUUCCUCAGCAUCAAAACAUCAGUGGAACCAGUCUUCACAACAGCACACACA
rnacentral:lncRNA from 1 species